UGUCCACCGACCUAUCGUCUUUCAAACUGGGCAGGGUGUCGGAGCUGGCGUUUCUCUUCAGCUUCUUCUGCGAUUUUUUCGAGACGAUCGGGUGCACGGCGCCCUUGUAGGGUGGACGAUUUCGCCGACCGGUUUCACCGGGAAGAACGACAACUUGGACAGGUCCUCAGGAGGAGGCUGCAGAGGCUUCAUGCCGACACACAUGGAGCUCAGUCUUUUGGCCAGGAUGACCGGGUCUUCUGCUCCGUCAGGGUUUUCUCUUCCGUCGCCCGUGGUCCUGAUCGGGCCGCCAGGGAAAUGCAAUGAGCCUGACGGCUCCAUCGCAAAUCGCAACCUAGACACUUUUUGACAUUAUUUUAAGGUUUUAACAUAAGAGUAAACAAACCGUAACGGUGAAAAAUUGUUACAGAGUGGAAAUAAUAUGAAAAUUCAUCACAAGCUGUGGGUACCACGGCAAUGUUUACUAGUUGACCGUGACCUGCCCACGCCCACAUUCGUCUCACAGGGAUGCCAAUCCAUCUGUAUUAACAAAACAAGUUCUGAUUGGUGUGAGUUGGGUUUUCGUUAACUUGGGCAUUGUAUUUGAGUUAAAUUUAACACCAAAGAGGCAUCUUUUACUAUCGAAGCCGUGGUUGGUAGUUGAAGAGUCAAAAUUUAAUACAACAAUUCGAGAUUAAGCCCGGACAGUCCGUAAUUUCAACUCAGCCCUUACCCAUUAAAUUUGGUUUAUUUUCUUUAAAUUAAAAAUGCGUAGUUGAUGUGUUUAAUAUACUUAAAUUAUAUAAUAUAAAUGCUUAUAUUUUAAGGGAGUCAAAGACUGGACAUGAAAAUAAUCUCAGAAUCAAAACGGUGAAUUUCGAACACGGAUUCGAAUAUUCUCGCCGAGCAAAAAAGAAAAAUGAAAAAAUGAAAGGCAAUAAACUGAAUUCGGAACAAGAUUGAGCUUUAAAAAGAUGAUAAAUAAAUCAACUAACAUUUUCGUUAUACUUGAAUUAACCUUGUGAAUCACCAAGAAAUAGAGAAUUUGAGUAAAGAACAUACUUCGGAAAACUUAAACGAAGCUAGCUUAUAUGGUCACAUAAUAUGAGCUUCAAACGCAAUUUGGCAUCCCGCCGAAAUGAUUCUGGAACACAGGGCGACACUUCUUCCUGCAGCGAUCAACUCACACACUGCUGAUGUUUAUGAUAAAACGUGGUAUUUUAUUUCACUCAUAUAGCUUCUUUUGAACCUUUCCUAUGUGAUGAGUUAAAGUUGGAAAAAUUAGGUACAUCUUAGAUUAAAUCACCUGCUGAUUUUUUGCUGCACUAGAUCUGUCACAGUGACCAAACAUCAAAAGGCUGCUGAUUAAAAAUUGAAGAUGAGAUUUGACCAGAAGGGAAGGCAACAGCUUGGUCCCCGGCUAAGCUUCGAAGAUGAGAGAGGAGUAUAUAAUCAGUAAUUCAAAUAAGAAAUUAAUUUUUUGAAAUAAUGCUGUGUGGCAGGCUUUAAGAAUAAAGAUGGCCCGGUGCAGACCAUGGAUGCUCACCCCUUUACGACUGCAUCCUACCCUGAAAAAAAAGACUUGAAGUUGGUCCGAGAAUACACAUGACAAAGGUGGCUAAAUUUCCUUCAGAUGCAUGGUGGACAAAAUGCUUGAGGGAUGUAAAUACCAAAAACUAGCCUAAAGCACAAACAACUUUACUUUGAAAAUUGGUUCAAGAUGUGGAUUGAUACUGCAAAACCCUAAAUAAAAUGCUUGGUGCCAAAACAUAUUAUUAUUUAUUUUAUUUAUUUAUUAUUAUUUAUUUUGAGAAAACUGUCUGCAAAGUUAGCAAGCUUGCCAACUUUAACUUGCAGUAAAGAGUGUCUCGAUACUGGACACCUGAUUCUGUUUCAAAACAAUGAGUCUACCAAAAGACUGUCAUGCACUGUUGAAUAGAUCCUGCUGAGAGGAAUCGAAAUCUGCAAAGAAAAUGUGGCCAAGCAUUAAAUUUUGGAAAAAAAUUGAAUUUUUACUGUAGCACUAGAUUGCUCAAAAUUAUAGAGCAAACUUUUUAUCGAUUAACUGCUUUUUGCAACAAAAUUUUCAUUCGUCGUCUUGUAUCGAUCCACUUUAAAAAUCCCUAUGAGAUUGGAGUAUGAAUGUAUGACAUUAAAACUGAGAAUGUUUGGAGUGCAUUGUCUAUGUAUGAUUGUGUAUGUAUGUAUGUGCAAAUGUAGUGGUUUGAAAUGCACAAUAAACGGCUUUUCCUCACCUUGUUAUGAUUAUUGUUUCAAUAUUUUAUGUGUAUCAUCGCUGACGGGCUUCUUUUCCUUGCUUGACUCUUGGCUUCUUUCUUCAUUCACGACUGUAGUGGCGGGGAUGUAAACAAUGCCGACUCAAUUAUUACUGGUCGAUCAGCUGGUUCCGGUAUCAAAAUACUAAAACAAAGAGGAGACGGAACUGGACGGAACUUGCUUGCCUUGGCUUAAUCAGUCUGAAUUAUUUAAAUGUGUCCUAUUUUGCAAAACCUUAGAGGUGUAUUGCGUACCCCACUAACUUACUUGUCAAGGGAAAAUCCAAAUGUUUCUAUGCAUCACAAAACAAAAUGGAAGCGCAUGGACAUCGAACUGACACGUCGCACUAAAAAAUCCUGAACACGGCUCAAAUAGAUCCUCUGGCAAAGAGCUGCUGCAGCAAGUGUCCGUGAUGAUGUCGUCAGCGUCGGGUGUCCUGCAUUCCUCCUGCUGACGCUUCUGUUCGGCCAAGACGUUCUGGGAUUUGACAAAAAACGGCCAGCCGCAUCCGAAUUUGACCUCCCAAUCUAACCAAUCAUCGUAGUACUGAUCUGUCGACAUCGGCUCUUCCGACUCCUCGCUUGCGCUGCUCUCGUCCUCAGAUGAUGGCGAGAAAUCCGAGAAAUCGUACAUUGGACUUGGCGUUGAGCAGUUUCUUAUUCCUGCCAUAAAAUCCAGUCGAGUCGGAAGAUGCUCCUCUGCAUCAUAAUCAUCGUAUGACGAAAGCCAAAUAGUUGUUUGAUCUGGAAUAUCGUCGUAGUGAAUUGAUUCAAUCGAAUCAUGCAACGUAAUAGUUGGCACGGCAUCCAUCUUGAAAUUUGAAGUCAAUAGAAGCGAGGAAGGGUCGAUGUGCUAUGAUCGAACGCAAAUUUUACACUGAUAUAUACUCUUCCGGAGAUGCGCUAGCUCCAGUAGACACCAACGCGACAUCUUUCGGAAAAAAAUGUCAUCCCUGUCAAUAUUUAAAGUAUCAUAACUAAUUGGCCAGAGUGAAAGCCCGGGAAAUUCGGAUCGUAGACAGCCAGAUUAUCCACCUAAUGAGACGUUGCGCCUACACCGAGAAUGUUGCUUAACUUCGGUGAUCUAACCAGAACCGGUGUGUCCAACAUGCUACACCCUAAACAAGCAGUAAUUUGUAGGGCAGUGAAUUUUAGACGAUUGGCUUUUUUUUCUAAGCUUCAGAUCACUGUGGGACAAUCAAAUGAGUAUGUAUCAUGCAAUUUUAAGCUAUUUAAACCACACUUGAAACCGUCUAAAUUGCCAAAACUGUCUAAAAUGGUCUAAAACCGUCAAGGUUGGCAUGAAAAAUGUUCCAAAAACAAAUUUCCUCAUGCCGUGAAAAAUAUUCAUAGCAAAAUUUGAACUGUGAUAGGUCAAAACCCAGUGAAACGACACCAAGCUUGACAAUUUUAGGCAUAUUUUUCGCGAUCUGUGACCCUCAGGGCCAUAUGUCACGGUAAGAACCUGAGGGUCGGAAUCAACCUUUGGUGGAUCAAUUUCGAUCGCCACAGUGCUUUGAAGUAAACAGGACACGGAAAAUUGAUAUGUUAAAUGACGGGCAUAUUUUCUAAAUAAAGGUCAUGCUCGGGAGAGCGGGAUUUGAGCCGGUUUCCAAACUUCAAACUUUGAUUGCCGCGAAAAUGCCAUCCUGAAAUUUGUUUACUUGCACAGAAUUUCACGGGCUAAAAUUAAGAAAAAAUAUGGAAUAUGGAAUUUUGGGCCUCAAAAUCUGCGGAAUUUCUCCAUUUCCUAACAAGUACUUGAAUACAAUUUAUCAAAUAAAACCACUUCCAAAUCGACCAUUAUUUUAUAAUGAAACAACUCGAUUUAACUAAAAAACUACCUGUGAUUAUAUUUUUUAAUUAAUCGUCAAUCUAAAGCUAUCUGAAAAUGCGCUCUGAAAAAUUCAAUGUAUAUAUUACACAAUUUAAACAAAAAUUUGCAUGAAAUAUAGGAAAAAACGCGAAAGAAACAAUGAAAAAUCAAACCGUCUAAAUUGACAAAAACCGUCUAAAAACGAAUAAUUUGCUCUUAGAAACAGUUUAAAAAUAGUCGACUAUUUUGGCCAAAAAAUCGUCUCAAGUUCACUGCUCUAGUAAUUUGUUAAGAAAAUAUAAGUGGCACUUUGGAGAAAUUCUAUGAAUAUGACUCCUGAACAAAGCCAGAAUUCAACUUGUUAAAGCGUUGAUGCUGCCCCCCAUUUCGACUACACUGAUGCUGUGUUUUGUAACUUGAGCGCGGCGCAGAUCAAUAGGCUGCAAGAAGUAUUGCCAAAUCAUCUCAAAAGGUAUAUUUUCGGAGUGAAACGUGGGCAGCAACUUUCCACAUGGUAUACAAAUUUUCAAUUACUAAAUUAUAUACUGAUAGACGUAAACUACAUGACAUGUACUAAUUUUGCUUUAAAUUUUUUCCUGCAACUUAAAAAUUAUUCCUCAAAUGAAUCCAGUCAGUCAAAUGUAAGUUAUGUUAUCAAAUAAAUAAAAUUUCUCCUCAAGAUCAUAAUAA